UACAGAGGGUGCGAGCGUUGUCCGGAAUCACUGGGCGUAAAGGGUGCGCAGGCGGCCAAGUGUGUGAGGCGUGAAAGCCUGGAGCUUAACUCCAGAAUUGCACCUCAAACUACUUAGCUAGAGCAUUGGAGAGGGUAGCAGAAUUCAUGGUGUAGCAGUGAAAUGCGUAGAUAUCAUGAGGAAUACCAGAGGCGAAGGCGGCUCCCUGGACAAUAGCUGACACUCAGGCACGAAAGCGUGGGGAGCCAAAAGGG
rnacentral:rRNA from 1 species